GACGAACGCUGGCGGCGUGCUUAACACAUGCAAGUCGAACGAAGUGGCGCACGGGUGAGUAACGCGUAAUCAACCUGCCCUUCAGAGGGGGACAACAGUUGGAAACGACUGCUACUACCGCAUACUGAAGGAGGGGAUUGCGUCUGAUUAUCUAGUUGGCGGGGUAACGGCCCACCAAGGCGAUGAUCAGUAGCCGGUCUGAGAGGAUGAACGGCCACAUUGGGACUGAGACACGGCCCAGAAGCCUACGGGAGGCAGCAGUGGGGAAUCGUCCGAAAUGGACGAAAGUCUGACGGAGCAACGCCGCGUGAGUGAUGACGGCCUUCGGGUUGUAAAGCUCUGUUAAGCGGGACGCGGUACCGGAAUAGAAAGCCACGGCUAACUACGUGCCAGCAGCCGCGGUAAUUC
rnacentral:rRNA from 1 species